UUGGAGGGCAAGUCUGGUGCCAGCAGCCGCGGUAAUUCCAGCUCCAAUAGCGUAUAUUAAAGUUGUUGCAGUUAAAAAGCUCGUAGUUGAAUUUCGGGAUCAGUACGCCGGUCGUGCCUUCGGUAUGCACUGGUGUCACUGAUUCCUCCCUUCUGAAGAACCAUCAUGCCAUUCAGUUAGUGUGGCGGGGAAUCAGGACUGUUACUUUGAAAAAAUUAGAGUGUUUAAAGCAGGCUCGCGCUUGAAUACAUUAGCAUGGAAUAAUGAAAUAGGACGUUUGACCCUAUUUUGUUGGUUUCUAGGAUCGACGUAAUGAUUAAUAGGGAUAGUUGGGGGCAUUAGUAUUCAAUUGUCAUAGGUGAAAUUCUUGGAUUUAUUGAAGACUAACUACUGCGAAAGCAUUUGCCAAGGAUGUUUUCAUUAAUUAAUAA
rnacentral:rRNA from 1 species